CCGGCCGCGGAACACAGUGGGGUCUUUAGGGCCUGAUCAUUUCUGGUCAACAAAGAGCUCCUCUGUUUGGCAGGCCUUUUGCGGAGCUUUCCAUCGGAUUGGCUGAGACACCUUCAGCUCUGCUUUACCCUCUGAGGCUUUUCUGGCUCGAUUCUGUUUUCUCGCGCCUGUCAGGGGGGCAGCGGGUGUAGAGACUUUCACUUCUCGACUAUGCUUUCCUCUCACUUACGUUUUUCAAGUGUUACCUCUCAUUAAACCUACUGCUGUCCUAAUCCAUCUCAGCAUCUGCUUCCUGGAGGACUGAGGCUGACGCCUGUCCCCUUCCAUCUGCUCCUCCAUCCUAUCAACAUAACCAUGGCCCUAACUUCUGAGACCCCAGCAGAGUCGUUGAUUGAGCCCUUCUGGUCUGGCUGAUUCCAGGGAGAUUGCACGAUGUAAAAGACUGGACUGCCCUGAGGAGUUCUGGUCGUGGCAGCUGAACUCACAGGAUAAGAUAGCAGGAAAUGAAAAUAUAUUAUGGAAUGCAGCCCGACACAGACAACUCACUCAUGAUAUGCAUUAAUAAUAUAAAUAUG